GAUGAACGCUGACAGAAUGCUUAACACAUGCAAGUCAACUUGAAUUUGGGUUUUUUAACUUAGAUUUGGGUGGCGGACGGGUGAGUAACGCGUAAAGAACUUGCCUCACAGCUAGGGACAACAUUUGGAAACGAAUGCUAAUACCUGAUAUUAUGAUUAUAAGGCAUCUUAGAAUUAUGAAAGCUAUAUGCGCUGUGAGAGAGCUUUGCGUCCCAUUAGCUAGUUGGAGAGGUAACGGCUCACCAAGGCGAUGAUGGGUAGCCGGCCUGAGAGGGUGAACGGCCACAAGGGGACUGAGACACGGCCCUUACUCCUACGGGAGGCAGCAGUGGGGAAUAUUGGACAAUGGACCAAGAGUCUGAUACAGCAAUUCUGUGUGCACGAUGACGUUUUUCGGAAUGUAAAGUGCUUUCAGUUGGGAAGAAAAAAAUGACGGUACCAACAGAAGAAGAGACGGCUAAAUACGUG
rnacentral:rRNA from 1 species